rnacentral:rRNA from 1 species
GACGAACGCUGGCGGCGUGCCUAAUACAUGCAAGUUGAGCGAUGAAGCUUGGUGCUUGCACCAAUUUGAAGAGCAGCGAACGGGUGAGUAACGCGUGGGGAAUCUGCCUUUGAGCGGGGGACAACAUUUGGAAACGAAUGCUAAUACCGCAUAACAACUUUAAACAUAAGUUUUAAGUUUGAAAGAUGCAAUUGCAUCACUCAAAGAUGAUCCCGCGUUGUAUUAGCUAGUUGGUGAGGUAAAGGCUCGCCAAGGCGAUGAUACAUAGCCGACCUGAGAGGGUGAUCGGCCACAUUGGGACUGAGACACGGCCCAAACUCCUACGGGAGGCAGCAGUAGGGAAUCUUCGGCAAUGGACGAAAGUCUGACCGAGCAACGCCGCGUGAGUGAAGAAGGUUUUCGGAUCGUAAAACUCGGUUGGUAGAGAAGAACGUUGGUGAGAGUGGAAAGCUCAUCAAGUGACGGUAACUACCCAGAAAGGGACGGCUAACUACGUG